AUUGAACGCUGGCGGUAUGCUUAACACAUGCAAGUCGAGCGCCCCGCAAGGGGAGCGGCAGACGGGUGAGUAACGCGUGGGAAUCUACCCUUGACUACGGAAUAACGCAGGGAAACUUGUGCUAAUACCGUAUGUGUCCUUCGGGAGAAAGAUUAUUGGUCAAGGAUGAGCCCGCGUUGGAUUAGCUAGUUGGUGGGGUA
rnacentral:rRNA from 1 species